rnacentral:rRNA from 1 species
UACGUAGGGUGCAAGCGUUGUCCGGAAUUAUUGGGCGUAAAGAGCUCGUAGGCGGUCUGUUGCGUCGGCUGUGAAAACCCGGGGCUCAACUCCGGGCCUGCAGCCGAUACGGGCAGACUAGAGUUCGGCAGGGGAGACUGGAAUUCCUGGUGUAGCGGUGAAAUGCGCAGAUAUCAGGAGGAACACCGGUGGCGAAGGCGGCACUCUGGGCCGAUACUGACACUGAGGAGCGAAAGCGUGGGGAGCGAACAGG